CUUGCCCGCUGGCGGCAGGCCUAACACAUGCAAGUCGAGCGAGCGGCGGACGGGUGAGUAAUGCCUGGGAAUUGCCCAGUCGAGGGGGAUAACAGUUGGAAACGAAUGCUACUACCGCAUACGAUUGGAUUGCUCAGGUGGGAUUAGCUAGUUGGUGAGUUACUGGCUCACCAAGGCGACGAUCCCUAGCUGGUCUGUGAGCAUGACCAGCCACACUGAAACAGAGACACGGUCCAGACUCCUACGGGAGGCAUCAGGGGGGAAUAUUGCACAAUGGGGGAAACCCUGAUGCAGCCAUGCCGCGUGUGUGAAGAAGGCCUUCGGGUUGUAAAGCACGGUCAGCGAGGAGGCGUUACUCGCAGAAGCAGCACCGGCUAACUCCGUGCCAGCAGCCGCGGUAAUAC
rnacentral:rRNA from 1 species